UAUGAUGAAGACCAACUAGUCAUCUCUGUGAAUGCAAAAGGCUUGCUGUACCAUCACCUGCACUAUUCGUCGAUGCUUCCGAAAUUAAUAAAUUUCAUGAUUGAAUCUAUCAAGUUCAAAGGAUGGUCAGUGACUACAGUUGGGAAUGAGGUUUUCAGUUCUAAUACUAUUUCCUCCAGUAGUUCCACGUUAUUACCUCAUUAUCCUGGUACCGUGUCCAUAAAGCAAAAAGGAUGGAGUUCUUUAACUGUGUCUCCUUCUUCCUAUGGGCCUUGAUCUUCUCGUGAGAGAGAAGCUUCUAUGAUAGCUUUACGUCUUGACACAGCUGCUCCAGCACCAACGUCAUCUUGUAAAACGGGAGAUUUGGGCCACCCGCCAACUGUCAUUGUGAAGCCCUUCACAAUCGUUAUUUGUUCUCAGAAGGAGAUUGAAACAGGACCAAUGAACAGGAGUCCAAAAACGGCCUCGAAUCCAGUUUCGCUCCAUAUAGUCCAUUAAUGUCUCCAGUAUUGGUGGCACCGAUGUUCGUAAGGAGUCAAACACCGAAGAUAGGCGAGGCAAAGCAGACGAAAAACGAAGUCGCGAACAGGAUUGGGUCCUUUUUUGUUGUACUCGGUCGACAGGUUAAAAUCGCGGAUUUUCUUCAUUAUUGCCUGGCCCCAAUGGAAAUUACAUCCCAAGUGGAAGCAAGAAGGAAACAGUUUUCGGACUGCGACAAAAACUGCGCGUUCAAAAUCUGUCACAAUCCGUUCAACUCUGGGAAGGGGCAUGAUUUCCUGAAUAAGUUUUUGGAACACCGCUAUAUAGUCAAUAGCUCUUCUUCGAGACAUGCAACAGAAAAGAAGCGGCACUUGCUUUAAAUCUCCUUUCUCGUUCUUUAUUAUUCCGUUGAUGGAGAGUAACUAGUGGAAUGUCGCAUCUAGGAACCACGUCUUACAGUCCUCCAACUGUCUCUUCAUUACUUGUGUGAAAAACAGAAGAUGACGAGCUUUAUUUGUGCCAUGCCCAGCGAAGACCUCUCCUUGAAAAAAGUCUGGAGUGAAGAACUCUACGUGGAUCUAAAAAAAUGGCUCGUCUUUCCUAGGAUUAGGAGGCAUAGAUUUGGAUCUCAAAUAUCUGCAAUGAGAAAAAGCAUUACCUUAACCGCCUAGUCGCAUUUUCUACAUCCGGCAUAUCUCUCCCUGCCAUCUCCUUGUUCUUCUUCAAUUCGUCAAAAAUAAUCCUUUUGGGGGGCUUAAACUUCUCUAGCUUACUCGCUCGUGGUUCCCAUGGUCUGGCGGAUGAUUAUGAUGGACUCCACUGUUUUGAUUGUGUAACUUUUCCUGGAAGUAUUCUUGGCUGUAUUCAACAAGGUAAUUUCUUCCCGACCGAAUUUUUUGAGUUAUUAUCGCUUUGCAGGGGUCUUGAGGCCGUCGGGUUGAGCAACGCCAAGUGAAGGAUUUACCGCUAACACGUUUUUUAGUGUAGCAAUAACCUAGGCAGAAUCAAAAAUCCGUCAAUGUGAAUUUUGUACACUGGCUCCUUCGGUUCUUCAAAUGAAGAUUGCUGACAGAAGAAAACUAAUUAAUGCAGAAAUACCGUUAUAAUUUUUCAUCAAAAAUUUCUUACUUCCAAUGUUGAUUCAAUUGGUUCCACAGUUGGCUGAGCUCUUACACCAUCACUGUCGCGAUUUCGCCUUGAAACAGAUGGUUCGAAGACAUCAGAAUCCUAUAACGGUUAAGGAUAAGAACGGAGAGUUGUCUGGUUGAACGCGUCGUCUUCGUCGUGGUGGAGCAACAGGCGGAGUAGCAGUGGGAGAUCUAAGCUUGAAAGAAUUAAAAGAACAGGAGACAUUAAUAAAGAAACAAUAGGAGAAGACUGUGCCCUUGGAGAUUCUCUAUGGCAAGGAGGAGAUGGUCUUCUCUGAAGCGGAGGAGAUGGUCUUCUCUGAAGCGGAGGAGAUGAUGUUCUUUGACGAGGCGGAGAUGGGAUUCUCUGACGCGGAGGAGAUGGUGUUUUCUGAAUAUCAGCAGCAGCAGAACAAACAGGACGUCGUCUGGAUACAUGGGAAGGAUGUAGAAUCUCCGGACGCUUCACGGUUCUUUUCGGGCGAACAGAAGCUCUUGCAGUAACCGCCUCAACGUCGUUUCCAUCACGAGAACCACCUGCAACACUUGCCACUGCUUCACGGACUUCUUGACCCUCACUUGCAGACCGUGUACUAUCAGCAUCUGACAAACUAGCAUUCGCCUAGUUAAAAGAGCAGGGAAUCAUCGCUUACAUCAUCUGUACGAAUCUGUACACUAUCAAUACAAACACACUUUGCACAGCGGUAGUUGGUGGAAAAUUCUUUCCAGGUGCGUGUGCCACCUCUAGCGAAAACAAAUCCGCAACACGCACGGUGAAGUGCAACUUUACAAACAAGACACCGACAGAACUGUUUCCGACUCGAAACGACUUAAUCACAGUGAGAACACUUCGAAUCCGAAGAGAGAUCCAUGGUGAGUACUACUUUGCACAAGACUGAAACAGAGACUAUUGCCUUCCCUGAAAUGUUCUUUCAUUAUAUAGGAAGUGUAUCAUAUGGAGGAGGAGCCACAGGACGUUCCGGUGGUUUCCAUUCUGAAGUGUGUGUGCCGCUCCUUCGGGAGCUGUCAGUGGCUAUGUAAGAUAAAGGCUCCCUAGGGAAUAUGUGUUGAAAGUGGCAAAACUCUUCUGAUGGUACCAUUAAAGAGAGAGAAAGACAUCAGAUGAACAUCGAGAUCCCACCACCACCCCCCAGACCAGAAUUUGAUAGUUCUAGGGAGAAGUUGCAGAAACUUGGAGAAGGAGAGGGUUCAAUGACGGCAAAGGAAUUCAAUAAGAUGAAGCUAAAGCUAGAAGCGAAGGCUUUGGCCACAUAAAAAAAAACAGUUGCUAUGCAUGAAGUUUUCUUAAGCGGACUGGAGAAUCAUCCCAUAUUCAGAGCUGAUACGAACUUUCGUGUUUUUCUUGAAUACGAACAAGAUUUGUCCAUACGAGGAAAAAACAAAAAGGAGAAACUGUUAGAUCGUUUUCUACAACGACUGAGAGAUAUUGCUUGGGUCUACAUAAAAGGACGAUGACGAGUUUUUAUUAUAAUUACAAUCCAACACUCCUACGAUAUCCAUUUGCAUUGGUAUAAUAUACACCAUCUUGGGGAACACACCCUAAAUACAAUCAGAAAUUGUAUAACCAUGA